rnacentral:lncRNA from 1 species
UUUCCUCCAGUACUUUAGUUGAUUUUACUGUAUUAACUAUUACUGAAGAUUUCAGAUCACUUUUAUGUGCUGGCCUGAAAAACGAUGUUCCAUCUGGAGCUUUGAGCCAUUCCUGUGUAGAUGUCCAGUGACAGCUGAGGUGCACUGAGGUGAAACCUUGGAUCUAUCUAAAAAGUGGAAGGUGGGAAGAGUACAGCAUGAACGAUGAAUCCCACUGGCUUUGAGCAGGUGACCAGCAGGUACCUGUGCGACAAGAGGAAGAGGGUGUCACUGCCUGCUGCUGGCAGCACACGCUGAGCUGCUUGGACAGAGGUACUUUUUGGAUGUAUCAUGCUGAUUCUAUGAUUCUUACAUUAUGGUUAGAUUGGUUUGC